UUUCUCUCUUUAAUUCUUUUCUUCAUAAACCAGUGGGUUAUAUAUGCCAUCAUAUUUUAUUGCCUGGAGUAGCUGCUGAACAAGAAAAUAUAUUAUUUGCACUCCUGCACCUGAAGAUGAAAUUGACCACUUCAGCAUAAUUUUGUCUGAGGAAGGUCAAUUUCACCGAUCAGAAGUAAGAGACUGUGAAAAUCUGGCUGAUGCCAUGUUGAACGUCUUUAUUUCCUCAACUGGAAGUUUCCCAG
rnacentral:lncRNA from 1 species